GGAGCUAAUACCGGAUAAUAUUUCGAACCGCAUGGUUCGAUAGUGAAAGAUGGUUUUGCUAUCACUUAUAGAUGGACCCGCGCCGUAUUAGCUAGUUGGUAAGGUAACGGCUUACCAAGGCGACGAUACGUAGCCGACCUGAGAGGGUGAUCGGCCACACUGGAACUGAGACACGGUCCAGACUCCUACGGGAGGCAGCAGUAGGGAAUCUUCCGCAAUGGGCGAAAGCCUGACGGAGCAACGCCGCGUGAGUGAUGAAGGUCUUCGGAUCGUAAAACUCUGUUAUUAGGGAAGAACAUACGUGUAAGUAACUAUGCACGUCUUGACGGUACCUAAUCAGAAAGCCACGGCUAACUACGUGCCAGCAGCCGCGGUAAUACGUAGGUGGCAAGCGUUAUCCGGAAUUAUUGGGCGUAAAGCGCGCGUAGGCGGUUUUUUAAGUCUGAUGUGAAAGCCCACGGCUCAACCGUGGAGGGUCAUUGGAAACUGGAAAACUUGAGUGCAGAAGAGGGAAAGUGGAAUUCCCAUGUGUAGCGGUGAAA
rnacentral:rRNA from 1 species